rnacentral:rRNA from 1 species
GCAUGCAGCAGUAGCAACUUGAACAAUGGUCUUAUUAGAUCUUAUAAGCUAAGUAGGUUUGGGCUUACCCAGUACUUGAAUGGGAGACCAUUACUGAAGAUGCUGCAGUAAGAU